GAUGAACGCUAGCUACAGGCUUAACACAUGCAAGUCGAGGGACCGGCGCACAGGUGAGUAACAAGUAUCCCACCUGCCCUUUACUCGGGGAUAGCCUUUCGAAAGAAAGAUUAAUACCCGAUAUAAAGGAUGGGGAGGCGGUCCAUUAGGUUGUUGGUGCGGGAACGGCCCACCAAGCCUUCGAUGGCUAGGGGAGCUGAGAGGAAGGCCCCCCACAUUGGAACCGAGACACGGUCCAAACGCCUACGGGCGGCAGCAGUGAGGAAUAUUGGUCAAGGGGCGCUAGCCUGAACCAGCCAAGUAGCGUGAAGGAUGAAGGCUUAUGGGUCGUAAACUUCUUUUAUAUAAGAAUAUGUAUUAUAUGAAUAAGGAUCGGCUAACUCCGUGCCAGCAGCCGCGGUAAUAC
rnacentral:rRNA from 1 species